rnacentral:lncRNA from 1 species
GGACAAAUUUUAUCUUUAAAAUGGUGCUUAUAAUUACGAACGGAGGAAAUAUCUCCUAAUCUCAUAUCCAUUACUUGGAUGAUAAUCUGAAAUUCUACGCCUCAAAAUAAGGAUCAUUAGAAAACAUUUUCAAAAUAUUUUUUUUCGUAGAUGGACACAAUUUUAUGCUUCUACAUUCAUUAAAAUUUGUGCAGGCAUGUGCCUACACUCUGUCCUAUGUGCCCACUUCUCCUUAUAGACUCU